GAUAGAUCUUGACCUGAUAAACAAUUUUACCCAGUCAGAUUUGCUCUAAAUGCUUUGGUUUUUGAGUUAUAAGCCAAAAACUGCAUUUUACCCCUAUGUUCUAUUUUUAGCCAUGGCGGCCAUCUUUGUUGGUUGGCCGUGUCACGCCACACAUUUUUUAAACUAGAUACCCCAAUGAUGAUUGUGGCCAAGUUUGGUUUAAUUUGGCCCAGUAGUUUCAGAGGAGAAGAUUUUUGUAAAAGUUAACGACGACGGACGACGACGGAUGACGGACGCCAAGUGAUGGGAAAAGCUCACUUGGCCCUUUGGGCCAGGUGAGCUAAAAAUGUAAUAAAAAAGAUUUUGAUACUUCAACUAUUUAUUAAGAAUUAAUCUGUUUAAAUACAAAUAAAGAUUGCCUAGCCUUUGAUACUAACAACAAUACAACCUAUUUGACUAGUUCUACAUUUGAUUGUAAAAUAAAUAUAAUCAAAAAUAUAAUCAAAACAAAUAUACAAUUAUUGAUAUGUAAUAUGUGUAACAGUAUAAAUUAUACAAGGAAACAUAGUAAAAUUGUUCUUCACAAAAUAUUCUAAAACAUUUUUGUAUAAAAGACUAGACUUUUUAAAAUUAAGAUAGUCUGAAUAAAUUAAAAAGUAUAAGAAAAACUAUUCUCCUUUUUUUUUCUCUUUAAUCUUUUCUACACAGAGAAGAUUUAUUUUCAAUAGCUACAGUUAACAAUGGUUAAGCAUAAUUAUAUGAAAAUUUAUGACAAUUUGAGUUUGGAAUUUUUGGUGUUCUCAUAAAGCAUACCUACUAAAGCUAGUGAAUAAAUAAUGCGAGAAAAAACAUAAGCACACAAGAAUGGUCAUAGUACACUUUGGUAUUUUUGUAAAUCUAACUCAGCUUACUCUCUUUAUGUUAAAAUACAGGCAUAUGGAAUCAUUCAUUGGCCAUUUUCUUAAUCAUUAACAUUCAAUGGGAUAUUCACUUACAACAAUGGUUGCAAAUAUAAACAUAAUUCAUAUGUUUGGAAGGGUAGACACAUAAUUUAUAACAAAACUUGUGUUUUACCCCUAUUUUCAAAUAAAAAUAGUUUUUUCUCCUUUUUGGAAACAUAUCAACAACUUACCAAAUAUUUCAAUAUAAGAUAGCCACACACAUUCUAGCUUCCUAUUUUAAAAUAAAGAGAGUCAGCGAUGUCAUGUGACAUCUAAAUGCCAUGGUAAUAACGUCAUGUGACAUAUAAAUGCCAUGGUAAUAACUACAAUAAAUUACAAUAACUAGCACCACAAUCAUUGAAAUGGACAACCAGUGUCUUAAAAGGAAUGUAAAACUAGGAACACAUAGUACAACAUGGAUUUGUUUCCUAAAAAUAUAAAUAAUGGAUUUCUUAACAGUUCAAAAUGGAAUGUAAACUUCUCAUGUUAACAAUAAAUCUUAUGUACAAAAUAUACAAUCAUAAUUUAUCAAGGUUUCAAAUUAGUAGUUUAAAACAAGAAUGUGUCCAUAGUACACACAUUUUUUUCUUUUAUUAAAGAAUGGACUUCUUGAUUAUUUACUCUUCAGAUUAAAUUUCUUAUUUUGUCUCAUUCAUACCUACCUACCUAAGUCUACCUAAAAAAUAAAAUGACCAAUGAGACAGAAUUCCUGUUAUCUAAGGGAUUACAUUUUAUAAAUUAAAACUGAUUUCGAAUUACAUUUGUACAUAAUUAUAUGGUAUUCCCUGAUUAAAAUAAGGACUAGCAAAAACGAUGAAUCGAGACAGAUCAUAAGCAAUAUAUAUUAUGUUCUAAUUCAUUUCUGAAACAUAUAAAAAAGAUUAUGGUAGAAACAUUAUUCUAUGAAAUUUGAAAAAAUAAGUUCUUCCUAAUAUGAAACAUAAUUUUUUAACAAUUUACCUUGUACAUGAAAUCCAGGACUAGCUUUCAAAAGUUGGACUCGUAAAUAAAAUUAUACCAAACAUUUUCAAUCUAGUUUUGCUGAUCGAUAUUUUUAAAAAACAUAUGAUGUAAAAAUACAUAUAUA
rnacentral:lncRNA from 1 species